UCUUGGUCAUUUAGAGGAAGUAAAAGUCGUAACAAGGUCUCCGUUGGUGAACCAGCGGAGGGAUCAUUACCGAGUUUACAACUCCCAAACCCAAUGUGAACGUUACCAAACUGUUGCCUCGGCGGGAUCUCUGCCCCGGGUGCGUCGCAGCCCCGGACCAAGGCGCCCGCCGGAGGACCAACCAAAACUCUUUUUGUAUACCCCCUCGCGGGUUUUUUUAUAAUCUGAGCCUUCUCGGCGCCUCUCGUAGGCGUUUCGAAAAUGAAUCAAAACUUUCAACAACGGAUCUCUUGGUUCUGGCAUCGAUGAAGAACGCAGCGAAAUGCGAUAAGUAAUGUGAAUUGCAGAAUUCAGUGAAUCAUCGAAUCUUUGAACGCACAUUGCGCCCGCCAGUAUUCUGGCGGGCAUGCCUGUCCGAGCGUCAUUUCAACCCUCGAACCCCUCCGGGGGGUCGGCGUUGGGGAUCGGCCCUCCCUUAGCGGGCGGCCGUCUCCGAAAUACAGUGGCGGUCUCGCCGCAGCCUCUCCUGCGCAGUAGUUUGCACACUCGCAUCGGGAGCGCGGCGCGUCCACAGCCGUUAAACACCCAACUUCUGAAAUGUUGACCUCGGAUCAGGUAGGAAUACCCGCUGAACUUAAGCAUAUCAAUAAGCG
rnacentral:rRNA from 1 species